CCUCAACCAUAAAUUAUGGUUUGAAUUUUUACCAAUGCCUUAGAAAGCUUGACAACAUUCAUAUUACAAUGAUUGGUUGCAUUCAAGUUGGGGAGAAAAGGUUGGUUGCUAAGAGGUUGAGAAAGAAAACGAAAAUUUUGGAAAAAGAAAGAGAAAAGGGAAAAAGAAAAUAAAAAGGAAAAGUCUUGAAAAAGAAAAAAAUUGCAAAAAAAUUAUGCUAAUAAGUUAUGUGAAAAGGUGUAACAAUUGAUCAAUGAGAAAAAGGUAAAUGAAGUUGUGAAUGC
rnacentral:lncRNA from 1 species